rnacentral:lncRNA from 1 species
CUGAAGAUUCCCAAGACCUGAAAGUCUCACACCUGCUACAUCCAGAGACAUUUGAAUGGCUCGAAGAGAAAAUUCAGAAACUCCUCCCUGAAUACACUAAAGACAUCCUUACCUUGCGCCCAAGCAAACGAGGAGGUCAAGAUCGCUGGGCUUGGCUCCCAUCUGAUUCUGGAAUCUAUUCAACAAGAUCUGGGUACUUCGAAGUCCUGAAUUUGGAAGAAAAAGAAACCAGCACACCAUCAGUGGUGGAUGAUUAUAACUGGAAAUCGAAACUUUGGUGCCUUAAAAUCUCACCCAAAGUAAAACUCCUCCUCUGGAAAGCUCUUCAAAAUGCUCUACCAAUAGGAGAGAACCUGAAACACAGACAGAUCAUCAACAAUGUGGUAUGCAGCCACUGUGGUGGUGAGGAAUCUCUUAUUCACCUCUUCUUUAAUUGCUCUCUUGCUCAUCAGAUCUGGCGAAAGCUUCCGUGUCACCCAACUUUGAGACCUGAACAAUCUCUCUCCAUAAGAGACGGAUUUGAAGCUUCUAAGCUCAUGUCCUGCCUCCCACCGGUUGGACUUAGCGAGGGACUCCUCUCUCCAUGGCUUUUUUGGGCCAUAUGGACCGCCAAAAACCGCCGAGUAUUCCAGGAUCAACAUCUUCUGGCCGAUGCAAUUAUCACCCUCGCCAUCACAAAGGCCAAAGAUUGGACCAUAGCACAAUUAGCUAAACCUCAUGUUGCAAAGCCUGCUGCUCCACGAACAUAGAUCCCUUGCGAUCCGGAUUCAAUUAGAUGCAACUCUGAUGCGGCAUGGAAAGCAGAUAAAAACGCAGGCUUUGGAUGGAUCUUCACGGAUCACCGGGGAAAGGAACUUAAGCGUGGCUCUGCAUCCUCUGCAAACAUUUCUUCCCCUCUCCUGGCUGAGGCAACAGCAAUCCUGCUUGCAAUCCAACAUGCCCGUGAAUUGGGAUUCACCAACGUAAUCGUAGCUACCGACUCGUCUGUUCUGGUCAAAGCUUUAAGAUCGGAGAUCCAAUCGAAGGAACUCCAUGGGAUUCAUUACGACAUCCUCAAUCUAUCUUUCUCUUUUGAUGCUUUGUCUUUUCACUUUACUCCUCGUUCUGCAAACAAUUUAGCUAAUUCAUUGGCUAAAAAGGCUUUACUUUCCUUUGUAACGGGCCUG